GAAAGGGGAAGACGAGAUAUGCGAUUCCGAAUCAGAAGAGGAAAUUAGGGAUUCAGACAUGAACGAAGCUGGAAAGAAGCAAUCAGUUCUUGAGACAAGUGAUGGCGAGGGGAAAAUAAAAAGAUAGAUAAGAAGAGGAAGAAGAAGAGUGAUGAUAUCAACAAUUUUCUAUGGUUCUAUGAACAAGACAAAGAUGGAAUUAGGCAAGAAGAGAAUAAUUUGAUCAAUUUCGUGCAGAAAACCAGAGACUCUUGCGAAGUAUGUGAUACUCUCCAAACAUUUUUCUGUGUUCAUUGCAACGUUUUGCAAGGAACUAACAAUUGUCUUUGGCUUGGUGUUGUUGGUAUGUGUUGCUCUUUUUAGGAUAGAAAGUAUAGAUGAUGUCUUUCGUUAUGUUUA